UAUAGUCCUUUCGGGGUUGAUUUCUUGUUUCAUACGCCAUUCACAGAAUUACUUGGCAGUGGAUAACCUGUCCAUUUACACAGGGGAGAUGAAUGAAGACGGAGGAGAGGCCAUGGAAGAGAUGGAGGAAGAGGAAGAGGGGCAGGCAGAGGAAGAGAUGGAAGAAGAGGGGCAGAUGGCAGAGAAGGCAAGAUGUGGAGAACAAAGUGAUUCGGAUGAGGAAGAGGAGAAAUUAAGCAGAAGGGAGUUGCUGAUGCUUCAAAAUAAACAAUAUAAGCUCCUCAUGGAUUCUAUGAAUAUUAAAAACUAAAAAAACAA